CUUGUGGAGAGUACAAGAACUUGUGAAUAGUAUUUAAGUAAACUUAAAUACGAAAGCAUACUCGAUGAAGCAAGAA
ncrna:unclassified sequences RAGATH-18 RNA